AACUUGACAUUAAAAGUGGAUAGUGAAAAUCAGUUUUCAUUUUACAAAUUUUUUUUCCCAAUUUCAAGAAAAAGUUAGGAUUAGCACCACUUUUCUUUACCGCGAAAUGGUUUUGUUCUUUCCCAUGAUUUCGUUCAAUUGGUGUCUUCUGCGUGCAAUGGAUUUCAGAAGUGAUUGAGCGCUCAACGCCUCUCUCUAUCUCUCCUGCUUCGAAGUUCUAGCAUCAGAAACGAAUAUAGUUCGGCAACAAAAGAAAAAAGGCAAAUGGGCUUGAAUUGGAAUACCCAGUUUGUGGAAAGGCCCCAUCCCCAUGAAUUGAUAUCGAGAUAAAAGAUCCAUUUGUCCCGUUUGAAGUUCGUUACUUUGUCCAGUCAAAGAUUGGCAUUUACCUGUCUAUUUGGUCCCAUAUAGAGCUGUUAAGGUUGGAGUUUUUAAGGUUCAAGUUGAAAACAAGUACUCUCUUAUGUUGUCAAGGUUAUUUUCUUAGGUUUCUAUACCUCCAACCACUAUUUGCUGGAUAAAUUGAAGAAUAAGAGCUUUGGGGUUUAAAUUGCCCAGAAGCAUAUUUUUUGUCAAGGGAGUCGACGCCGUUCUAGAAUUUUAAAAUGCAACGCUAAAAUGCCAAUCGGUCAAAAUUGCAAGUUUCUUGUUUCCUUUUUAAGCAUUCAUUUCAUAGCAUUUCUAUGUAAAUUCACUUGUAUAUGAACUCUUAGAAGCAGUUGUUUAGUGCUCCCAUGUCCCCUCUGGGCUCUAGCUCUUUUGCAUGACAUUGUCAUGUGGAAAUUCAGUCCGAUUACGGAAAAUAGAUCUUAUGAACACUGGUUUUUUUGACAGCAAGAACACGAUAAUUCUUAAGUCUUAACAGUUCAAUCAACAUUUUCAGCAUUUAAAAUCACUCACACAAACUAGGACAAGCACUAAAAUCAUAAUAGUUGAAACCACACAAUCAUGUCACACCGGGAGAUUUGGUACCGACACCCCUUUUAUUCUGCUUAGUUUGCAUGAGCUCUGCUUAGUUUGCAGGAGCUCGCUUGCAUCACAGCUAUAAUAACAAGCUAAAAAGCCACCAACACACAGCAUCUUAUCAAACACCGCAUUGAACACUUCUUACCCAGAAGGAUACAGCUAAUUGUUGUUCAGCUUCUGCUGCUCUACAGCUCUAACACCAAGUCUACAAUGCAAACAGGGAGAAUGGGUGAGAAACAGUUGCAUCAAUGUUGGUACUUUGGUAGUGUCGCCUUAAGGAUUUUAUGUUCUUGCAAUCAAAUUACAAUGAGUUGAUGUGUGAAGUAAGUCACACAAGCAUAGAGAUACAUGUACCUAUAUAUACCAAUAUUGGCAUAGUUGAACGGAGAAGUGAUGAUGCACCUAAUUUAUUGUCCAUGGGGCAAAUCAAAAACAUAAAUAUUGAUUUAUUAGCUUCUGUUUUAUAUCUCAUAUCGGACACUGUUGAUUGCUGGAAACUGGGAUGUUUACCAAGUAUGUAGUGAAGGUGGUUAGUAUAUACUCACAGUCUGCGUCUGUUUUGAUCCAGUGCUCCCUCUUCUCGUUCAUACCACUGCUGCUGAGCCCCGUAUGAGUUACGUUCAAGCUGGUGGUUUCCUUCUUAAAUAUAGCUCUGAGAGGAGACCUGCUUUUGUAGUUGUCUUGGGAAGGCAGACCUCCCUUGUUACAGCCACUGGCUAUUGAAUUUUUGUUACUCUCACAAUUACGUGACUUCUUGAGCUCCUCCUCUGCAUUUGCUCUCUCAGGAUGGAUUUUUUUGUGGAGCAUUCUUAGAACCUGCAUGCCAGACAUACUAAAACUAUAAACUUAAGUCAGUAGUUGUGUAUUCUACAGUUUCUAUUGCAUUCUGCAUGCUCCGACUUCCAUAACAAAGCAGGCUAGAUUUUUAAAUUCUGUAUGUGUGGUGGCAUAUCACCUAAAAUAAAACAUGUUAAAGCAUCCAAUUCAUAACCAUUUUACUUUGAGUGGGGAGGCUUCCCUUAGUCAUAUACUCGUUCUAGAGGUGAUAAUUACUUAAUUUGCUCUUGUGGGACAAGCUCUAACAAAAUGUUGAAAACUGCUAAGAUGUCACAAUCACAAGAUAUCUUUUCGGUUGGUUCCUUAGAUGCUCAGGUAGUACUCGACAGCUAUAUGUGCCUUGCAAGAAUCUGUACUCUGGGAUUUGCUGAUGGGACUUUUAUGGGGUAAAACCUAGGAUAUCUCAUAGGAUGAUCAUUGUUAUCCCACUUUGAUAGGGCCAUCCGAGAUGGGACCUAUUGUGGAUUGCCAAAGUGGUCAAGAGGCAACAGAAUCAGACCUGCUGUACCAUCUGACUAAUGCUAUGACUAAGACAGUCCUUCAUCUCCUUCUGUUGCAUAGAAUGGCAUAUACUAUAUAACAUGAAAAAUGCUAAAAACAGCCCACUGGGCACUAUUGUUAAGGUUGAAAAGUGUAAAAAGUGUAUUGGAGUGUGUGUUUUUGUCAUUUUCUUUGGCUUAUUGACAGCCUGGGCUGUCAAUAGAAGGACCCAUUUAACAUCUCAACUUUGUAGACUGUAGGUAAGCACUAACGGGACCCCUCUUUGAUGGCUCAUUUAUUAUAGAUAGUAUUUCCUAAGAAUGCAACACUGGGGUGACCAACCUUGGGGAGUUUCCUCUUGGUUGAAGGAGGAUCAGCAGUUGCACCACCAGUGCCUGUAGAGCUUCUUGGAGGUGGAGAGGAAUGGAGCUUUUUUAGCAUCUUCCUGAUGAAACGCAUGGCGUAUGUUCCCCUAGCGUGGUUCUUUAUUUUUUCGCAUUUACUAGUAGAGUGGUCAUGUGCUAUGUUAUUCAUCUUAAAGAGCUGCCCCAGAGAUGUCCUCUCCUUCUCCACCUGCAUGUUUGGCUCAGGCAGUUCAAUUGAAGAUCCAAAAAGGUACUCCUGGAGUGGGAAUUCCCCGUUAUCUUCGAACUCUUCAUUGUCCACCCCUUCAAUUUGCUUUCCGCAUAUGGUAAUUAUGCUAACGUAACUGCUUCUCUCUGAUGGUUCAUCACCUACCACUUUAGCUUCAGCCUCGAGGAACUUCUCUAGUUCAUCAUUGAUAAACUUCAAUUCAUUCUCUGUUACCUCUGCAUUUUCCUCAGUUAUUUUCUCAAAAGGCAUGGGAAAUGUUGGUGUUGAGGGCUCUGUAAGGAUUUGUUCCAGUCCGAGGGUUCCAAUCAUGAGAAAGCCGUCAAAAGGCGCAGUGAUCAUAGUAGACCACUCUUCUUCAGAAACCUCUUCCAACCUCUUGGUUUUGAGCUCAGUGGGAGAUUCUUCGCGGCUGAAGGUUGGCUUUGGAUAGUAUUCUUGUUCAUAGAGGGAUGGCUGUGUUGAGAGGCAACCAUAUGAGUUCCCUGCAACCAGACAAGAAACAAAGUUUUCAACAAGAUUUACGGCUUGUGCUGUUUCUUUCUUCUUUGCAUAAAAUGGAGAUAGAGACCAUAAAAGUGGCUGCAGUCCAUAACAUGUGGCCUUUUCUGUCGGGAGAGUGGUAGUGCAAUGCCAAAACAGCACUGUUAUCAUAAGCGGUAACGAUACAGUUUGAUGUGCAUCUUUUAGGAUCAUUUUUGUAGAGGUGGCAAUUUCUUUGAAAUCCAUUUUAGCAAAUUUUUGAGCAAUCACUAGGAAAACUCACUGCAUUAGUUCUAGUCCUUUAAAGUGGUCCUAUAAUUCAUCGGGCUACUUUUUUUAGUGGGAUGCCAGUGAAAGAAGGAAAAAAAGAAGAAGAAGACAGAUACGCUAUUGUAGGGAUUUUUCUGGUAGGAAAUUGGAGUACAGUGGUAGUACCAGUUGUGAGUUCUUUGAAUGGCUCGGUGCUGUUUUGCCUUAACUUACGGUGCAUCCAACCCAGUAACUGCAACAUUGACAUGCAAAAGAUGAAGAUAACAGGGUUGAUUAUGUUCAUACUAAAUAAGGAAGAAUUUGGACUCACCUUCAUCUCAAACUUUCUUUUAGAGGCCUCGUUGAAAGAUUAUCAAAGGACACAUGGAUGGAGAUAGGUCGUGGAAUGGGAUUUUGAAAGGAGAGAUUUGGCACUGGUGAAACAAGGCAAUAAUAGAGGAAUUCUUGCAAUCAUGUUGGCUAAUGACUAGGUACCUGCUAAGGGUCUGGGAUAGAACUGAACACAGAAAUACAAAUAGAAAGGUACAAGAUUUUGGUUGGCCAUUCUCUGUCAAUAUUAAAUCAGGUGGGCAAGUUGAAAACUGUGUUCAAGACCCACAAGUUGGUGGUUAUCUUCCUUUAUGUAUUUGCAUGCUUGGAGUUGGUACUGCAAUACACAGGUUCAUAUGAAGUCGGCCAUUCAUCCACACAGGUGUCCACUUGCUAUUCCAAACAAGCGCGUCAUGUAGGUCACACAUCUGAUGACAUUGUGCAUUAGGUUCCAUACCUCUAUUCUAGUUGCCGAGGAUACAUUUGAUGAUAGAGCAGAUAGAAGCCAGAUCUCAUGGGGACUCUACAGAUUUCUCCAUUGAAUGCUGUUGGGUUUGAAGAUGGUUUGAGUAACCAAGCAUACUGAUUAUACCUUCCAAGGUUUUCAGUAGGGUUAAGGCUUAAGCAUUUGGCAAGUUUCUCCUUAUAAAUCUUUAUGUGGCUUACCCAUAUUACUGCCAAAUCAUCUUGAUGAAUGAAUGUGUAGAAAUGCAUGGUGUGGAUAUUUGCAAGUACUGGUAUCAGAAACCAAGCUAAGCGUAAUUUAACAAUUUGAUAGUCCUGGCAUUGCAUAGUUUCCUGAUGUUAGCAUUUAAAUGACCACUUUUCUGUUGCAAUUCCACUAGUCAAGUUUUCUGGUUUGCAUGAAUUCCCGUGGUCUCUGUUGUAAUGUUUUCGGGAUGAAUUUUGCAACCAAGGCUUGCUAGGUGAUGUUAGUUUCGUGUAAUUGUUUUGUUACUCAAGGGUAAAUGGUUUAUAUUACUAGCUGUUAAGCUAUCACAAAGUUGAACUCUUUUUUCUUCAUUUGUUUUUCCGGGGCUAACAAGAUAAAUGAGAAAAGGAAGGGAAACACUGUAAAAACCAAGCUGUUUGAAAAAGAUAUCGAGAGAUGUGCAACCACAUGUGACAUCAGCCUCAUUUCUAUGUGAAAAUGACACAGUGAUGUUUUGAUGCUAGCUCCUACUGUUAGUGGCUCAGUUUCCCAUUUCGAAUUUCCUGCUGCUUGUUCAAAAUUGCAUCUAUAAGCAUUCAUGUGGAUGGAGUUUCUGGUUGAAGGUAUGCUCACCUACAAUUUACGGUUCUCAUCUUCUUCGCUGGAUGCUUACGGUAUAAUAUGUUUAACGAGUCAUGACUGGAAUAUUACUUAUGCUACACAACAAUUGCCUGGCUGUAAAGAUAUUCCUUCAGUCUUAUCUUGCAUUACUGCUUAUGAACAUGAAAGAUUGGACUUGCAUAUUUAGAUUUAACCAAUAGGAUUAUCUGGGGAAAUAAACCUUUUCUUCUAAUUCAGGGUUAUUAGGUGCUGGUGGGGUCAAAUUCAGUGGAUCUAAAUGAAAAAAAGAAAAA